GUCUCAAUAGCGCAGCGGAUAGCGCUGUAUUUCGAAUCCAGACGUCGCGGGUUCGAAUCCCGCCGGAGAUG
rnacentral:tRNA from 1 species